rnacentral:misc_RNA from 1 species
GAAGAUUUUGUAAGAUGGCACUCCCCUCCUGAUUGGACAGAAGCUGAACCGAGUAGUGAUAGUAUAGAUUCUCCCGUUGGUAGCGAUUCAAGAGGUCAACUUAGUACUCGAAUGCAAAAAGAAGGUAAUUUGUGGCGUGAACUAUGGGAAACAUCGAAACCAGUGCCUGCUGUUAAACAAACACCACUCUUUGAUGAGGAUUUAGCAGUGGAUACUCUCUUGACGGCAUUGGAGGACAUCUCACCAUCUGACCUCAUUGAGCAACUUUUUGUCUCAGCGCUCUGUUCGGGC